AUUCCCCUAGUAACUGCGAGUGAAGCGGGAAAAGCUCAAAUUUAAAAUCUGGCGGUUCUGCCGUCCGAGUUGUAAUCUGGAGAAGUGUUUUCCGUGCUGGACCGUGUACAAGUCUCUUGGAACAGAGCGUCAUAGAGGGUGAGAAUCCCGUCUUUGACACGGACUACCAGUGCUUCUGUGAUACACUCUCAAAGAGUCGAGUUGUUUGGGAAUGCAGCUCAAAAUGGGUGGUAAAUGCCAUCUAAAGCUAAAUAUUGGCGAGAGACCGAUAGCGAACAAGUACCGUGAGGGAAAGAUGAAAAGCACUUUGGAAAGAGAGUUAAACAGUACGUGAAAUUGUUGAAAGGGAAACGCUUGAAGUCAGUCGCGUUGCUUAGGAUUCAGCCUUGCUUUUUUGCUUGGUGUACUUCCUGGGUGACGGGCCAACAUCGAUUUUGACCGGUGGAUAAAGUCGAGGGGAAUGUGGCUCCUUUGGGAGUGUUAUAGCCCUUUGUCGCAUGCAUCGGUUGGGAUCGAGGACCGCAGCACGCCUUUUUGGCCGGGGUUCGCCCACGUAACGUGCUUAGGAUGUUGGCAUAAUGGCUUUAAUCGACCCGUCUUGAAACACGGACCAAGGAGUCUAACAUGCCCGCGAGUGUUAGGGUGGAAAACCCUUGCGCGUAAUUAAAGUGAAAGUUGGGACCCUUGUCAUGGGGGGCACCGACGCCCGGCCUUGAACUUCUGUGACGGCGCCGCGGUAGAGCGUGUAUGUUGGGACCCGAAAGAUGGUGAACUAUGCCUGAAUAGGGCGAAGCCAGAGGAAACUCUGGUGGAGGCUCGUAGCGAUUCUGACGUGCAAAUCGAUCGUCAAAUUUGGGUAUAGGGGCGAAAGACUAAUCG
rnacentral:rRNA from 1 species